rnacentral:rRNA from 1 species
GUGCCAGACUCCUACGGGAGGCAGCAGUGAGGAAUAUUGGUCAAUGGGCGGGAGCCUGAACCAGCCAAGCCGCGUGAGGGAAGAAGGUACAGCGUAUCGUAAACCUCUUUUGCCAGGGAACAAAGGCGGGGACUAGUCCCCGGAUGAGGGUACCCGAAGAAAAAGCAUCGGCUAACUCCGUGCCAGCAGCCGCGGUAAUACGGAGGAUGCGAGCGUUAUCCGGAUUUAUUGGGUUUAAAGGGUGCGCAGGCGGAUUUUUAAGUCAGCGGUCAAAUCGUGGGGCUCAACCCCAUCCAGCCGUUGAAACUGGCAGUCUCGAGUUGGAGAGAAGUAUGCGGAAUGCGCGGUGUAGCGGUGAAAUGCAUAGAUAUCGCGCAGAACUCCGAUUGCGAAGGCAGCAUGCCGGCUCCACACUGACGCUGAGGCACGAAAGCGUGGGUAUCGAACAGGAUUAGAUACCCCUGUAGA